GAAAGUGUCCCCUUUCACAUAACACUUAGACAUUUGAUCCAUUGUGUAUAGAAACAUUUUGAUCACUGCAGCUUUUUUGCACGUUUUUCUAGACUCCUAUUAGCUGAACUUCUGUCAUAUUCGAAAUAAGACAACAUGAAUCAGCAAAACUGGCAAGCUGAUCUGUCAGUCCAACCCCAAGUAUCCUGAAAACUCAUGUCACAAAGCAUCUCUUUGGGUCUACAGGGUUAUUGAUGCUACCGUACAAUCAGGAGUCAAAGCUCUCCUUUCCUUUUUCAGUUAACUGGAUGUUGAAGCUUCUUCCAGUCAUUACCUCUCAUCAUGUCCUUGUAACAGAUUGCAUUUGGUGAUAAAAAGGCUUUCUGGCUCUGGAGGCUUAAGUCCACGGCAGAUGUACAAGAUGUUAAAGCAGAUGGAGCAGUCAUGGGAGUCAUUUUGUUUUUGUCAUCUUUGGUUCAUCAAACACUAGAACGGGUGGCCUACAUGUUGACAAGCGGCCACAUCAACACUUUAAAGAUGACUCAUUUUCCACAACACCACAGCCCAUAAUCUCAAACCCAAAUUGAUUUCUGUUUGACUUUUUCCUCUUCAGACGCUUGUAAAAGACACUUGCUGUUCCAACAUGAUGUUGUUUAUGUAAAUCUCAAAUAACUGUAUUUUUAAAUACUUUUGUUGACAAUACAGUACUGACUUUAGUCUCUCUGUCCUGGUUGGAGGGCACAGAGGGACUAAAGAGUCGAUGCUUAAUAAAGAUAUUCUGAUAUGUUUA